GGAGUCUAGCAUGUGCGCGAGUCAUUGGGACGAGCGAAACCUAAAGGCGAAAUGAAAGUGAAGGCGCGCCUUGCGCGCGCCGAGGGAGGAUGGGCCGCGUUCGCCGCGGCCUCGCACUCCCGGGGCGUUUCGUUCUCAUCGCGAGAAGAGGCGCACCCAGAGCGUACACGCUGGGACCCGAAAGAUGGUGAACUAUGCCUGGUCAGGACGAAGUCAGGGGAAACCCUGAUGGAGGUCCGUAGCGAUUCUGACGUGCAAAUCGAUCGUCGGAACUGGGUAUAGGGGCGAAAGACUAAUCGAACCAUCUAGUAGCUGGUUCCCUCCGAAGUUUCCCUCAGGAUAGCUGGCGCUCGCUUUGCGAGUCUCAUCCGGUAAAGCGAAUGAUUAGAGGCAUUGGGGUCGAAACGGCCUCAACCUAUUCUCAAACUUUAAAUGGGUGAGAACUCCGGCUUGCUUAAACCGUGAAGCCGCGAGUUUUAUUUAUAUAAGGAUCAGAGUGCCAAGUGGGCCACUUUUGGUAAGCAGAACUGGCGCUGUGGGAUGAACCAAACGCAGAGUUAAAGCGCCCAAAUCGACGCUUAUGGGAUACCAUGAAAGGCGUUGGUAACUUAAGACAGCAGGACGGUGGCCAUGGAA
rnacentral:rRNA from 1 species